AGCCCCCAUCUCCACCGUGUGCUGGGUCUGACUUCCCCUCACUGAGACCAGGUCAUGUUCUCUUUGGGUCUGAUGGGCCGUGGCAGAGGGUCGUGUUUCCUGCCCUGUGG
ensembl:misc_RNA